CAGGACGAACGGCUGGCGGCGUGCCUAAUACAUGCAAGUCGAACGGUCUUUCUAUGGAAGCUUGCUUCCACUGAGAAGAUAGUGGCGAACGGGUGAGUAACACGUGGGUAACCUGCCCAUAAGAGGGGGGAUAACAUCCGGAAACGGGUGCUAAUACCGCAUAGUUUUCUUGAUCGCAUGAUCGGGAAAGGAAAGACGGCCUUUGUGCUGUCGCUUAUGGAUGGACCCGCGGCGUAUUAGUUAGUUGGUGAGGUAACGGCUCACCAAGACGAUGAUACGUAGCCGACCUGAGAGGGUGAUCGGCCACAUUGGGACUGAGACACGGCCCAAACUCCUACGGGAGGCAGCAGUAGGGAAUCUUCCGCAAUGGACGAAAGUCUGACGGAGCAACGCCGCGUGAGUGAAGAAAGGUUUUCGGAUCGUAAAACUCUGUUGUCAGAGAAGAACAAGUUGGAGAGUAACUGCUCCAGCCUUGACGGUAUCUGACCAGAAAGCCACGGCUAACUACGUGCCAGCCGCAGC
rnacentral:rRNA from 1 species